UCAGUAAGGCGACUGAAGCGGGAAGAGCUCAUUCUGUGAAUCUCUGCCAGAGAGUUGUGGAGAGGUACUUGUCUUGGCCUUGCUUAAAUCUCUUGGAACAGGGUGCCUAUGAGGGUGAGAGCCCCGUAUAGCUUGGCUUUUAGUGUACUUCAUACGAGUCGAGUUGCUUGGGAUUGCAGCUCUAAUGGGUGGUAAACUCCAUCUAAAGCUAAAUAUGGCGUGAACGAUAGCAACAAGUACCGUGAGGGAAAGAUGCAAAGAACUUUGAAAAGAGAGUUAAAGAGUACCUGAAAUUGUUGAAAUGGAAGGAGAAAUCAGUGCUUUCAACUAUUUUUCCAGCCUUACUUGUGAGGUUGGCGCUGUGGUGCUGAAUAAGCCAGUGUGGGUUUAACCGGGGGAAGUGCUGUUUGUGCUCUGGUUAGACUGACACUGGCAAAAUGGUUUUACCCCGUCUUGAAACACGGACCAAGGAGUCUAACAUCUGUGCGAGUAUAUGAGUGGCAAACUCACAUGCAAAAUGAAAGUAACAGUGGUAGGAUCACUAUCCGCCGGCCACAAUCUUCGGAGAAAGGUCUGAGUGUGAGCAUACAUGUUGGGACCCGAAAG
rnacentral:rRNA from 1 species